CAUAACACCAUUGUAUAUAGAUGUUGUACAUAUCAAGCAUGCAACCUUCGAACAGACAGGACCAGCAGAGAUGACCCACCAAGGUCAUGUGGAACAGUGGCUGAAUUAGCAACAUGUAAACAUGUAAACCAACAUGUAAACAUCGGGUCUCAUUUCUUUUGUUAAUGAAAUUGACAUGUAUUGUCUAAAUCUAAUAAAUGAUCAUUGCUGUCAGGUUAAAAUAACCAAACUAAUCUGAAAGUUUGAACAUCAUGUCAAAAGCUAAUAUUUAGAAUUGGAAUUGUUUUCAUAUAUACUGGACAAAAAUAGUUAGGGAUAUAUGUAACUUUUGAAAUUAUGAAUAAUGAUCUAUUUAUUCAAUGACACUCUGAUAAAAUAUCAAUCAUAAAAAUACCAAUAUCCCUAACUUAUUUUGUCCAGUAUAGUUUGUUGUGCAUUCUGAAGGAAAGUUUGUUUUGUUCAAAGGUCAUGUCAAAUGCUCACAAUGAUUGACACAGCAACUUUGUACUAUUGUAUAUGUUGUUUAUACAAACAAGCUCACAGAGUCACAAGUUAGUAUUGUUUGUGAUAUGUAAUUAUUUUUGAAUGAUUAAAUGAGUUUUUAUGUGUGACUGUCAUCAGGUCAGGAACUGUAUGGUGAGGUAUGAGAUGCUUUAUAGUGAGGUAUGAGAUGCUUUAUAGUGAGGUUUGAGAUGCUUUAUAGUGAGGUUUGAGAUGCUUUAUAGUGAGGUAUGAGAUGCGUUAUAGUGGCGUGGUGGUCACUGUGAGUCCCAGUCAGCUCUAAGUCUAUGCACACAGCCUUUUUAUGUCUUGGUAGAAGUCACAAGGCCUUGUUCAGUGAGAAGCCUAGAAGUGGAGCAGCCCAGUGGUUAAAGCGUUCACUUGUCACGCUGAAGAUCCAGGUUCGACUCCCUACAUGGGCACUAUGUGUGAAGCUCAGUUCUGGUGUCCCCUGUCGUGAUAUCGCUAGAAUAUUGCUGAAAGCGAUGUAACACCCAACUCAAUCACAAGAAGAGCAAUGGCCUUUGUGCGCUAUGGUUGUGCUAUAUGUCUGUGUGCUUUGCUUUUCAGUGCUGUACUGUGCUGUACGUGUGUAUCUGCAAACCUCUGAAACAAAGCAAUACUCACCCUUUGCCCAUGAUUACGCUUUAUGCUGUUCAGUGACAUUGUACUUGUCUUGCACAUAUUGCACAGUGUGGGCGGUGGGGGUAGCCUAAUGGUUAAGGUGUUUGCUCGUCACGCUGAAGACCCGGGUUCGAUUCCCCAUGUGGGCACAAUAUGUGUAACCCAUUUCUGGGUCCGCUGCUGUGAUAUUGCUAAAAGCGGCGUAAAACUAAACUCACACACUCUUGCACUGUGUAAUGUGCCCACUCAUGAACAUUGUCAAUUCUUCACUGGUAUGCAUACACUUGACUACUCCAAAGUAAUUCACAGGGACACAGGCACUACGUUCCUCCAUCCUGUGUCAGUAUUCUCAUUGGUAUUCUUCUGGUCAUGUAUGGCUAUAUUUAAGCA